CCUACGGGAGGCAGCAGUGAGGAAUAUUGGUCAAUGGGCGGAAGCCUGAACCAGCCAAGUAGCGUGCAGGAUGACGUCCCUACGGGUUGUAAACUGCUUUUAUACGGGAAUAACGCGCCUUACGUGUAGGGCUUUGCAUGUACCGUAUGAAUAAGGACCGGCUAAUUCCGUGCCAGCAGCCGCGGUAAUACGGAGUGUCCGGGCGUUAUCCGGCUUGAUUGGGUUUAAAGGGAGCGUAGGCGGCAUGUCAACCGUGCUGUGAAAGGUCCGGGCUCAACCCGGGCCUUGCAGCGCGAACUGGCGUGCUUGAGUCCGCGGAAAGCAGGCGGAAUUCGUCGUGUAGCGGUGAAAUGCUUAGAUAUGACGAAGAACCCCGAUUGCGAAGGCAGCUUGCUGCAGCGGAACUGACGCUGAUGCUCGAAAGCGCGGGUAUCGAACAGGAUUAGAUACCCCUGUAGUC
rnacentral:rRNA from 1 species